rnacentral:lncRNA from 1 species
UGACUUUUUGAGUUUCUUAUGAUUAGUUUUUAAUACACUUUAUUUUUAUAGAUUAAAAUUUUCCUUUAGUUUUUGGUUUCCCCCCAGAAAUAGUUGAAACUCCUUCUGUCCAUAAGUGUUCAUUUCAUACCUUUUUAUACUUAUGCUCAUCCUUUCUGGAUAUAUUACUCAUGGUUGUAAGCCUUGUUCUUUCUAAGACCUGUGUUCUUUUAAUGUUGGGGCUACUGCUGAGUCUUGUGUUUUUCUGACUGUAGCUCCACAGUAUUUCUCCCUUAAUGCUUAUAGUAUGCACUCUUUAACCUGAGACCUAUGGAACAAAGCUAUUAUGAUCCUGCACAUUUUAAUCAUUGUGCCUCUUUGAGCUGGUAAUCAGAGAAUUCUUUCCAUGUCUAUUUCACCCUCUGAUUCUAGAAUUUCUGGUCAGUUUUCCUGAAUAUUUCUUGGAGUAUUGUGUCUAAACUCUUUUUCAUCAUAACCUUCUGUGAAUCCAAUAUUUUUUAUACUGUCCCUUCUUGAUUUAUUUUCCAGCUAAUCAAAUCAAGAACUUAAAGUACCCCUACUUAACACUAAUUAAGAGCAUUCAUGAGACAAUUACGAGUGUAAGCUCACACCUCCAAAAGGCUACUGCCUCCCACCUUGGUCAAUGUUGGGCAAAUUGAAUGUCUGCCAUUGGUUUCUGUGAAGAAGGGGGAAAGACAAGAAGUGACAAGAAGUGAUGUGGAAAAAGGAAGCAUAAAAUGAAGAGAUCAGCAUGAUCUAGAGGCAUUGCUUUCCUGGCUUCUGGAGAGAUUGAUUCUGGAAUUCCUGGCAUUUGGAAUAAGUGGCUGAGAUCCCUGCCUUGGCUUGGAGGAGACCUUUUCCCUGGAUCCUGUCCUGGCUUUCUGGGAACAAUAUGGAUGCAUAUAGGUCCUACUACCUCCACUCUUGCAGCCAAAAGACUGGGCAGAACACAUUGGAGAAAGGAAUGGAGGUUGAAUUAAUUUUCUUAUGAGCAUUCCAUUAGUGGAUUUGUGAGAAGGAAGGACAGCAAGAGCAGACAAUCUGAUUAAAGCUGGUGUCUGACUUUGAUGGUUCACCAUCAAAAGUAGAAAUUGGAUAAUUUUCUCUUGAGAACAAAAUGCAGUAAUUAAGCUGACCAGAGAAUAAUCCUUUCAUUUUGAUAAGAAUGGUGAAAAUGAAUACCAAAGCAGCUCUGCUUGUAUGUUCAGAGAAUAAACGACCUGGCUGAAAAUUUAGAGUUCA